rnacentral:rRNA from 2 species
AGAGUGUUUAAAGCAGGCUAACGCUUGAAUACAUUAGCAUGGAAUAAUGAAAUAGGACGUUCGAUCUUAUUUUGUUGGUUUCUAAGAUUGACGUAAUGAUUAAUAGGGAUAGUUGGGGGCAUUAGUAUUCAAACGUCAGAGGUGAAAUUCUUGGAUUGAUUGAAGACUAACUACUGCGAAAGCAUUUGCCAAGGAUGUUUUCAUUAAUCAGUGAACGAAAGUUAGGGGAUCGAAGACGAUCAGAUACCGUCGUAGUCUUAACCAUAAACUAUGCCGACUAGGGAUCGGACGGUGUUAUUUUUUGACCCGUUCGGCGCCUUACGGGAAAC